CAGUAGCCGCGGUAAUACGUAUGUCGCAAGCGUUAUCCGGAAUUAUUGGGCAUAAAGGGCAUCUAGGCGGCCAGGCAAGUCUGGGGUGAAAACCUGCGGCUCAACCGCAGGCCUGCCCUGGAAACUGCGUGGCUAGAGUGCUGGAGAGGUGGACGGAACUGCACGAGUAGAGGUGAAAUUCGUAGAUAUGUGCAGGAAUGCCGAUGAUGAAGAUAGUUCACUGGACGGCAACUGACGCCGAAGUGCGAAAGCCGGGGGAGCGAACAGGAUUAGAGACCCCCGUAGUCCCUGUCUCUUAUAC
rnacentral:rRNA from 1 species